UACAGAGGGGGGCAAGCGUUGUUCGGAAUUACUGGGCGUAAAGGGCUCGUAGGCGGCCAACUAAGUCAGACGUGAAAUCCCCAGGCUUAACCUGGGAACUGCGUCUGAUACUGGAUGGCUUGAAUCCGGGAGAGGGAUGCAGAAUUCCAGGUGUAGCGGUGAAAUGCGUAGAUAUCUGGAGGAAUACCGGUGGCGAAGGCGGCAUCCUGGACCGGCAUUGACGCUGAUGAGCGAAAGCCAGGGGAGCAAACGGG
rnacentral:rRNA from 1 species